UACGGAGGGAGCUAGCGUUGUUCGGAAUUACUGGGCGUAAAGCGCACGUAGGCGGCUUUGUAAGUCAGAGGUGAAAGCCCGGGGCUCAACUCCGGAAUUGCCUUUAAGACUGCAUCGCUAGAAUUGUGGAGAGGUAAGUGGAAUUCCGAGUGUAGAGGUGAAAUUCGUAGAUAUUCGGAAGAACACCAGUGGCGAAGGCGACUUACUGGACACAUAUUGACGCUGAGGUGCGAAAGCGUGGGGAGCAACAGG
rnacentral:rRNA from 1 species